AUACAUGCAGUAGAACGCUGAAGAGAGGAGCUUGCUCUUCUUGGAUGAGUUGCGAACGGGUGAGUAACGCGUAGGUAACCUGCCUUGUAGCGGGGGAUAACUAUUGGAAACGAUAGCUAAUACCGCAUAACAAUGGAUGACACAUGUCAUUUAUUUGAAAGGGGCAAUUGCUCCACUACAAGAUGGACCUGCGUUGUAUUAGCUAGUAGGUGAGGUAAUGGCUCACCUAGGCGACGAUACAUAGCCGACCUGAGAGGGUGAUCGGCCACACUGGGACUGAGACACGGCCCAGACUCCUACGGGAGGCAGCAGUAGGGAAUCUUCGGCAAUGGGGGCAACCCUGACCGAGCAACGCCGCGUGAGUGAAGAAGGUUUUCGGAUCGUAAAGCUCUGUUGUAAGUCAAGAACGGGUGUGAGAGUGGAAAGUUCACACUGUGACGGUAGCUUACCAGAAAGGGACGGCUAACUACGUGCCAGCAGCCGCGGUAAUACGUAGGUCCCGAGCGUUGUCCGGAUUUAUUGGGCGUAAAGCGAGCGCAGGCGGUUUGAUAAGUCUGAAGUUAAAGGCUGUGGCUCAACCAUAGUUCGCUUUGGAAACUGUCAAACUUGAGUGCAGAAGGGGAGAGUGGAAUUCCAUGUGUAGCGGUGAAAUGCGUAGAUAUAUGGAGGAACACCGGUGGCGAAAGCGGCUCUCUGGUCUGUAACUGACGCUGAGGCUCGAAAGCGUGGGGAGCGAACAGGAUUAGAUACCCUGGUAGUCCACGCCGUAAACGAUGAGUGCUAGGUGUUGGAUCCUUUCCGGGAUUCAGUGCCGCAGCUAACGCAUUAAGCACUCCGCCUGGGGAGUACGACCGCAAGGUUGAAACUCAAAGGAAUUGACGGGGGCCCGCACAAGCGGUGGAGCAUGUGGUUUAAUUCGAAGCAACGCGAAGAACCUUACCAGGUCUUGACAUCCCGAUGCUAUUUCUAGAGAUAGAAAGUUACUUCGGUACAUCGGUGACAGGUGGUGCAUGGUUGUCGUCAGCUCGUGUCGUGAGAUGUUGGGUUAAGUCCCGCAACGAGCGCAACCCCUAUGGUUAGUUGCCAUCAUUCAUUUGGGCACUCUAGCGAGACUGCCGGUAUAAACCGGAGAAAGGUGGGGAUGACGUCAAUCAUCAGCCCCUUAUGACUGGGGUACCACGUGCUACAUGGUUGGUAAAC
rnacentral:rRNA from 1 species